rnacentral:rRNA from 1 species
AUGCCUUCGCUUGCUUCGCUCGGCCACACCAUCACCGAGAAGCUGACGCGCGACAACUUCCUGGUGUGGAAGGUUCAAGUCCUCCCGCACGUCAAGGCCGCGGCGAUGAUGGGUUACCUUGAUGGCUCGACCAAGGAACCCGCUGCCAUCAUCGUCACUGAGAAGGAAACCAACGGGAAGAAGGAGACCGUUGAGAUACCCAAUCCAGAGCAUGCGAUCUGGGUUACUCAAGAUCAACAGGUGCUUACUUUUCUGCUUGCAUCGUUGUCUCGCGAAGUGCUCAUGCAGGUGUCCAAC